rnacentral:rRNA from 1 species
CGGCAAUUCGAGGGGCUCGCGGCCUAUCAGCUAGUUGGCGAGGUAACGGCUCACCAAGGCGAUGACGGGUAGCUGGUCUGAGAGGAUGGCCAGCCACAUUGGGACUGAGAAACGGCCCAG